AUUGAACGCUGGCGGCAUGCCUUACACAUGCAAGUCGAACGGUAACGCGGGGCAACCUGGCGACGAGUGGCGAACGGGUGAGUAAUACAUCGGAACGUGCCCAGUAGUGGGGGAUAGCCCGGCGAAAGCCGGAUUAAUACCGCAUACGACCUACGGGUGAAAGCGGGGGAUCGCAAGACCUCGCGCUAUUGGAGCGGCCGAUGUCAGAUUAGCUAGUUGGUGGGGUAAAAGCCUACCAAGGCGACGAUCUGUAGCUGGUCUGAGAGGACGACCAGCCACACUGGGACUGAGACACGGCCCAGACUCCUACGGGAGGCAGCAGUGGGGGAAUUUUGGACAAUGGGGGCAACCCUGAUCCAGCCAUGCCGCGUGCGGGAAGAAGGCCUCGG
rnacentral:rRNA from 1 species